rnacentral:rRNA from 1 species
UACGGGGGGGGCAAGCGUUGUUCGGAAUUACUGGGCGUAAAGGGCUCGUAGGCGGCCAACUAAGUCAUACGUGAAAUCCCUCGGCUUAACCGGGGAACUGCGUCUGAUACUGGAUGGCUUGAGUUCGGGAGAGGGAUGCGGAAUUCCAGGUGUAGCGGUGAAAUGCGUAGAUAUCGGGAGGAACACCAGUGGCGAAGGCGACUACCUGGCCUGUUCUUGACGCUGAGGCGCGAAAGCUAGGGGAGCAAACGGG